rnacentral:rRNA from 1 species
AUUGAACGCUGGCGGCAUGCCUUACACAUGCAAGUCGAACGGCAGCACGGGGCAACCUGGUGGCGAGUGGCGAACGGGUGAGUAAUGCAUCGGAACGUACCUUUCAGUGGGGGAUAACGUAGCGAAAGUUACGCUAAUACCGCAUAUUCUGUGAGCAGGAAAGCAGGGGAUCGCAAGACCUUGCGCUGAUUGAGCGGCCGAUGUCAGAUUAGGUAGUUGGUGAGGUAAAGGCUCACCAAGGCGACGAUCUGUAGCGGGUCUGAGAGGAUGAUCCGCCACACGGGAACUGAGACACGGUCCAGACUCCUACGGGAGGCAGCAGUGGGGAAGUUUGGACAAUGGGGGCAACCCUGAUCCAGCCAUGCCGCGUGAGUGAAGAAGGCCUUCGGGUUGUAAAGCUCUUUCGGCCGGGAAGAAAUCGCACGGGCUAAUACCCUGUGUGGAUGACGGUACCGGAAUAAGAAGCACCGGCUAACUACGUGCCAGCAGCCGCCGUAAUAC